rnacentral:rRNA from 1 species
UACAGAGGUGGCAAGCGUUGUUCGGAAUUACUGGGCGUAAAGGGCGCGUAGGCGGCCUUCUAAGUCAGACGUGAAAUCCCCCGGCUUAACCUGGGAACUGCGUCUGAUACUGGGAGACUAGAGUGCGGGAGAGGGAUGCGGAAUUCCAGGUGUAGCGGUGAAAUGCGUAGAUAUCUGGAGGAACACCGGUGGCGAAGGCGGCGUCCUGGACCAACACUGACACUGAAAAGCGAAAGCCAGGGGAGCAAACGGG